rnacentral:lncRNA from 1 species
CAGCGUCCUGUGCUCCUGUUAACUCAAAAAGCAUACCUGAUUCCCAGGGGAACGAGACCCGAAGGGGCACGCAGCCGUCACACGGCUUCCAAACUUCGCCCGAGCACCCCGGAGCUCGGCCAGGUGCGGCCAAGCCCCCGCGACUUGAGCCCUGCCAGCUCCACGGGUGGCCGAGGAGCUCUCAGAGCCCGUCCAGGUGAAUUCUGCUCUUCCAGCCCCGCGUGGGCUGCGCGAAGCACACGCCGUGGUCCUCCUGACAGGAGCUCAGCCAGGCGGGAGGGGUGCGCUUGGUGGUUCACCGCCGGUGGAGACCCACCACCACCCCACCUGCCCUCACACCCUACCGGGCAGCACCGCGGACCCCCAAAGGCCGCCCCUAAUCCCGCCUUGGGGCACAACCGCGGCCGAGCCCAAACCCCCCCGGGCACGCCGGCGGCUUCCCGGUGCCCUGAGGCGGCGGGCACGGAACGCGCCCCCCUCCCCGGCCGCCCCCCGGCCGCCCCGGAGCACGGGCGGUCCCCUCGGAGCCGUGUGCCCGGCAGCGGGGAGGCAGCGGCGGCCGCAGCGGCUCCCCUCGCCCCGCCGGACGCCCCGCGCGGCCCCGCCGUCCCCUCGCCCAACUUCGGGAGGCAGCGGGCGGAGAGGCGAGGCGCACCCGCAGCCCCUCGCCGCCCCCCGGCCAAGUUUCCCCCCACGCUCCCCGCCGGUACCUGGGACAGGCGGCGGGCGAGGCGCAGCCCGGCGGUGCUGAAGGAUGCCCGGCGGGCGGAGACGGCCGGCCCCGCUGACAGCGCUUCCUCCUCCUCCUCCUCCUCCUCCUCCGCCUGCCCGUGCCCGCCCGCCGUGCUCCGGGGCCGCCCCCCCCUCGGCGCCGCCACAGGGAGGUGCCGGGGCAGCGCCGCUCCGCCUGACGGCCCCGCUGCCCGGCGCGAAGUUUGCGGCACGGCUCGGCCCGGGGGGGCGCCUCGGCGGGGCCGGGCAGCUCCGCUCCGAGUGCCGGAGUCCGGCCCGGGGCCGCGGCCACUUCCUCUUCCUCCGAGCCCCGCCGGGGCAGGGGCAGCGGCGCCUCCCGGCCCGGCCCGGCGGUGGCAGGGCUCCGCCGUGCGGCCGGGGCCGGAGGACCCUGAGGCAGCGCCCGCCUCCCCUCGCCCCCCGGCGGGUCCCCUCUCGCCCCCAGCCCCGCAGCUCCGAGCCGGGCUCACCCCCCGCCACACGCACACUUUUGCCAGCCGCGGCAUCAGGGGGUAA